rnacentral:rRNA from 1 species
GGAAAGUGCGUGCCAGGAGCCGCGGUAAGACGAGAGGGUGAAGCGUUACUCGGAAUUACUGGUGGUAAAGCGUGCGUAGGUGGUCGGUUAAGUCCGUUGGGAAAGCCCUGGGCUCAACCUGGGAACUGCAGUGGAUACUGGGCGACUAGAGUGUGGUAGAGGGUAGCGGAAUUCCUGGUGUAGCAGUGAAAUGCGUAGAGAUCAGGAGGAACAUCCAUGGCGAAGGCAGCUACCUGGACCAACACUGACACUGAGGCACGAAAGCGUGGGGAGCAAACAGGAUUAGAUACCCUGGUAGUC